UGGGGAAUAUUGGACAAUGGGCGAAAGCCUGAUCCAGUCAUGCCGCGUGAGUGAUGAAGGCCCUAGGGUUGUAAAGCUCUUUCACCGGUGAAGACAAUGACGGUAACCGGAGAAGAAGCCCCGGCUAACUUCGUGCCAGCAGCCGCGGUAAUACGAAGGGGGCUAGCGUUGUUCGGAAUUACUGGGCGUAAAGCGCACGUAGGCGGAUAUUUAAGUCAGGGGUGAAAUCCCGGGGCUCAACCCCGGAACUGCCUUUGAUACUGGGUAUCUAGAGUAUGGUAGAGGUGAGUGGAAUUCCGAGUGUAGAGGUGAAAUUCGUAGAUAUUCGGAGGAACACCAGUGGCGAAGGCGGCUCACUGGACCAUUACUGACGCUGAGGUGCGAAAGCGUGGGGAGCAAACA
rnacentral:rRNA from 1 species